rnacentral:lncRNA from 1 species
GUGUUGGCAAGUUCAGCUUGUCCUUUCUAGCCACGUAGACUGAUCAUACCAUAGAUCACAGUGCUUGCGACCCAUGAGCCAAUCAGGGGUGUUGAUGAUGGUGAAUGUGAGAAGAUGCCAGAAACCAUCCACAUAUCUUGUUGAACUCAAAUGUCUCUCUGUUGAUGCUGCACAGGAAGAGAUGCAGAUGUGACCAGCAUCCAUACCUCCUGCUUACAGAUGAAAGCUAGCCUGAGAUUGAUUCACUCUCCAUGCAGAAGUGGAGGGAGGCGGUAGAACCAGCGCCUCUGCUCUGGGACUUCGUAGCGUGUGAUGGAUGACCUCCACUUAAACAAACCAAAACAGGCACGCUCAAAGGCCAGGCCGGUGCAAAAGCUGUUCAUUUUACAAAACUACUCUGCACUCCAUCGCUUCUUUCAACCCAGCAAUGACAAGUGUUGGCAGUGAUGGUGACGUUUCUGCUCUCAUUCUACUGUCAUCUGGAUCCAUGUCCAGGAGUGCAGUCAAUGGCUGUCACUCCAAGAUGGCCCCCAUCCCAGAGCGCACCUUUGGGUUGGGAAGUCCUUCGAAGAGACAAGGGAAUUGCUGGAAACAGAAGGUUCUUUCUCUGUCGGCUUCAUCUAACACUCAACCGCAUGCAUCUGCCCAAGUCUCAGCCCCAGCGCAACACACUCUUUCAUCUCAACUCUUUGGGAAAUGCUGAGUUCCCACUGCAAGCUUAGGAAAACAUACCUGUGUCUAUUCAGGUGCAGUCUGCUUCAGCAAACUUGCUCUGCCGUGUCAGGUGCCUGCCCUUGUGUUUACAGAUGGGAUCAGGCUGGUAUUAAAUGAGUCACAUGGCCCCACCCAAUCAGCUUUGCUCCAGAUAUUCGAGCGAACUCCUUAGCAUAGUGAGAGUCUACGCACAGUCUUAUUCCAAAACUAAGCAUCUAGUGAGCCUAGCUUUGACAGCUACAACUUAAUUUCCCUGAAUAAACAGAAAACAGUCCAUUAGUGUAACUUAAUUGAAUUUAUCACAAUUGACAAUAUUAAAAUUAAAAGGAAAAAAAAAAA